GUCAAUAGCUGACUUUAGAUAGGGC
rnacentral:piRNA from 1 species